ACUCCUACGGGAGGCAGCAGUAGGGAAUCUUCCACAAUGGGCGCAAGCCUGAUGGAGCAACACCGCGUGAGUGAAGAAGGGUUUCGGCUCGUAAAGCUCUGUUGUUAAAGAAGAACACGUAUGAGAGUAACUGUUCAUACGUUGACGGUAUUUAACCAGAAAGUCACGGCUAACUACGUGCCAGCAGCCGCGGUAAUACGUAGGUGGCAAGCGUUAUCCGGAUUUAUUGGGCGUAAAGAGAGUGCAGGCGGUUUUCUAAGUCUGAUGUGAAAGCCUUCGGCUUAACCGGAGAAGUGCAUCGGAAACUGGAUAAACUUGAGUGCAGAAGAGGGUAGUGGAACUCCAUGUGUAGCGGUGGAAUGCGUAGAUAUAUGGAAGAACACCGAGUGGCGAAGGCGGCUACCUGGUCUGCAACUGACGCUGAGACCCG
rnacentral:rRNA from 1 species